GACGAACGCUGGCGGCGUGCCUAAUACAUGCAAGUCGAGCGAGGCUUUUCUGGUGCUUGCCCUAGAAAAACUUAGCGGCGGACGAGUGAGUAACACGUAAAGAACCUGCCUCAUAGACUGGGACUAAUAUUGGAAAAGAUAUCUAAUCCCGGGUAACAGUAUUUCUCGCAUGACCGAUGUUUAAAAGUUGGUUAUGCUAACAAUAUGAGUUCGCAUUGCGUUGCAUUAGCUUGGUCGUGGGGUAAAGGCCCACCCAGGCGACGAUGGAUAGCCGACCUGAGAGGGUGAUCGGCCACCCUGGGAGUGAGACAGGGCCCAGACACCGACGGGAGGAAGCAGUAGGGAAUCCUACGCGAUGGGGGAGAGCCUGAUGGUGGAACGUCGCGGGAGGGCAGAAGGAUUUAUGUUCGGAAAGCUCUGUUGUUAGGGAAGAAGUGAUACGUAGUAACUAUACAUGUAAGUGACGGUACCUAAACAGAAAGCUACGGCUAACUACGUG
rnacentral:rRNA from 1 species